GACGAACGCUGGCGGCGUGCUUAACACAUGCAAGUCGAACGGUAAGGCUCCAGCUUGCCGGGGUACACGAGUGGCGAACGGGUGAGUAACACGUGGGUGACCUGCCCUGCACUUCGGGAUAAGCCUGGGAAACUGGGUCUAAUACCGGAUAGGACCGCACCGUGAGGGUGUGGUGGAAAGUUUUUUCGGUGUGGGAUGGGCCCGCGGCCUAUCAGCUUGUUGGUGGGGUAAUGGCCUACCAAGGCGGCGACGGGUAGCCGGCCUGAGAGGGUGGACGGCCACAUUGGGACUGAGACACGGCCCAGACUCCUACGGGAGGCAGCAGUGGGGAAUAUUGCACAAUGGGCGGAAGCCUGAUGCAGCGACGCCGCGUGGGGGAUGACGGCCUUCGGGUUGUAAACUCCUUUCACCAUCGACGAAGGGUUUCUGACGGUAGAUGGAGAAGAAGCACCGGCUAACUACGUGCCAGCAGCCGCGGUAAUACGUAGGGUGCGAGCGUUGUCCGGAAUUACUGGGCGUAAAGAGCUCGUAGGUGGUUUGUCGCGUCGUCUGUGAAAUUCCGGGGCUUAACUCCGGGCGUGCAGGCGAUACGGGCAUAACUUGAGUACUGUAGGGGAGACUGGAAUUCCUGGUGUAGCGGUGAAAUGCGCAGAUAUCAGGAGGAACACCGGUGGCGAAGGCGGGUCUCUGGGCAGUAACUGACGCUGAGGAGCGAAAGCAUGGGGAGCGAACAGGAUUAGAUACCCUGGUAGUCCAUGCCGUAAACGGUGGGCGCUAGGUGUGGGUUUCCUUCCACGGGAUCCGUGCCGUAGCUAACGCAUUAAGCGCCCCGCCUGGGGAGUACGGCCGCAAGGCUAAAACUCAAAGGAAUUGACGGGGGCCCGCACAAGCGGCGGAGCAUGUGGAUUAAUUCGAUGCAACGCGAAGAACCUUACCUGGGCUUGACAUAUACAGGAUCGCGCCAGAGAUGGUGUUUCCCUUGUGGCUUGUAUACAGGUGGUGCAUGGUUGUCGUCAGCUCGUGUCGUGAGAUGUUGGGUUAAGUCCCGCAACGAGCGCAACCCUUGUCUUAUGUUGCCAGCACGUUGUGGUGGGGACUCGUAAGAAACUGCCGGGGUUAACUCGGAGGAAGGUGGGGAUGACGUCAAAUCAUCAUGCCCCUUAUGUCCAGGGCUUCACACAUGCUACAAUGGUCGGUACAGUGGGUUGCCAGUCCGUGAGGGCGAGCUAAUCCCGCAAAGCCGGUCUCAGUUCGGAUCGGGGUCUGCAACUCGACCCCGUGAAGUCGGAGUCGCUAGUAAUCGCAGAUCAGCAACGCUGCGGUGAAUACGUUCCCGGGCCU
rnacentral:rRNA from 1 species